GAUGAACGCUGGCGGCGUGCCUAACACAUGCAAGUCGCACGAGAAAGGGACUUCGGUCUUGAGUAAAGUGGCGCACGGGUGAGUAACACGUGACUAAUCUACCCUCGAGUGGGGAAUAACCUAGGGAAACCUGGGCUAAUACCGCAUAACACUUACGAGUCAAAGCAGCAAUGCGCUUGGGGAGGAGGUCGCGGCAGAUUAGCUAGUUGGUGGGGUAAUGGCCCACCAAGGCGAUGAUCUGUAUCCGGCCUGAGAGGGCGCACGGACACACUGGAACUGAAACACGGUCCAGACUCCUACGGGAGGCAGCAGUGGGGAAUUUUGCGCAAUGGGGGAAACCCUGAAGGAGCGACGCCGCGUGGGGGAUGAAGGGCUUCGGCCCGUAAACCCCUC
rnacentral:rRNA from 1 species